CAUCUUGUGGCGGUUUUUAAAGAUUUCCUG
rnacentral:misc_RNA from 1 species